UGCAUUUGUAGCCUAUGAGGAUGAGAACCUCCGGGGGCAGGGAGAUUCGACUCGAGCGAAGCGAGAGAACGUUGCGCCAGCAACGGCCCGCAGGGCGAGCCACGAAGUGGCGAGUAAUCCUCUAUCACCGACCA
rnacentral:sRNA from 1 species